rnacentral:misc_RNA from 1 species
UCAAAAUAAAAUUGAAUUGAGUGAAAAGUGUUCGCUGCCGGAUUUUAUUUGGAAGUGAGAGAAUCGGAGAGCGUCAAAUAAUCUUUAAUAUUUAUAGAAAUCCUUUAAGAAAUUAAUUUAGAAAUAACUGUAUUUAAAUUGUAGUGCUUCCGUUCUUUAAGUUUUAAUAUUAUUUUCGAUUUUUGCUUAGUUAGUGACAAAGACAGGAAUUCCAAACAUAGUAUCGGAUAGGUAGAGGACAUUCGCUGGGCGUAAAAAGAAAAUGGCGUGUGCUACUCUCAAAAGAAAUUUGGACUGGGAGUCCAUGGCGCAAAUGCCUGCUAAAAGGCGAAGGUGCUCACCAUUUGCAGCCAGCUCUAGCUCAAGUCCUGGAAUUAAAGUUUCUGAGAGCAGACCUUCGUCAUUUGGAGAAUCCGUUAUUGCACCUGUGAAACUGACCCCAGAGCGCAUGGCACAGGAGAUAUGUGACGAGAUCAAGCGUCUGCAGCGUCGUCGCCAACUGCGUCUGACUAACGCGGCGGCCUCUUGUUCCUCGUCCAGCGGCUCCGAGGGCGAUUGCUCGCCGCCGCAUCGCUCCACACACAACACACAGAAGGUGCACCACCGUGCCCUCUUCACUUUCAAACAGGUGCGCAUGAUCUGCGAGCGAAUGCUCCGCGAGCAAGAAGUGGCUCUGCGCUCCGAGUACGAGUCGGCGCUCAGCACCAAGCUGGCUGAACAGUACGAGGCCUUCGUGCGCUUCAAUCUUGACCAGGUACUGCCAUUGUAGCUUAAAUAUUGCACCUUUUUGUCUAUGUAGUAAAGGAAUAAAUAGUUUAUGUGCUACAACUAAUAUGUAUCAUGUCAAAAAAAUCGGAUUCAUUACAACUUAAGAAUAUAAGCUCAACUAUCUUCAAAAUUACAACUUCUCAUAAGGUUCUCAAUAACUUUAUUUUCUAGUGUUUUAUCUCUAAGAAACUUCUUUAGGGAAAACAGACAUGCAAAUAAAGAUUACUAAUAUAAAAACCGUUAAUUACCAUUACAUGCGGUAAUUAAAGAAAUACACAAGCAUGUUUAGGUAAAUGAUGAUAAUAUUAUAUCUCGCGUAUGUAAAUGCGAUAAAAUAGGUAAUGUCAUUAUCUAGUAGCAAAUUCGAUUGUUUAGACGUUAUUUUGAAACAAUAUCAGUAACGGACGCGUAUUGAUAACAUUGAGCUAGCUUUCACACGCUUCUUAUCAAUUUGAAUAGACCACAGAAAUCGAUACCGAAAUUACACCUCCCUAUAAAAUAUUACCUGGCAUGCCUCCUUUGCAAUUUUUUUUUUACAAUUAAAAGAAAUAAUUACAAUUGAAAAAAAUAUUGUGAAAUUUGCAGCCGUUUCGCAACUAAGUAACUUACUGUCUUUAUAAUGGCAUAUUUCAAAAGUAUUGCAACACCAAGAUUUUUUUUUAUAUGUUCCACAACGAAAAAUGAUCUGACAAAUAAAAUGUCGUCAACAGGUGCAGCGCCGACCCCCGCCCGCGACUUGCAUGCCCCUUGGCAUGGACGCCGAACACCACAUGCACCAGGACCUUGU